rnacentral:piRNA from 1 species
UGUGCUGCAAGCAUUUUUCCUUUCUGUUGG